rnacentral:misc_RNA from 1 species
AAUGGAAUUUGCAUUUGCUGUGUAAUCUGCAAAAACCAUGAAACCCCUCAUAUUGGGAUCCGUAAUUUAUAAAACUACUUGUUGAGUAGAGAAAAUAAGAAAAUUUUCAUCUUUGAGAUAAUAUAAAAUUAUCAUUUGGAGCUGUUAACCAUGUAAAGUUUGCAGAAUAAGCUAUAUUUAGGUUUUCCAAUCUGGUUCCAGAAGGAAACCUGACUUUGAUAACAAAAAUCAGAUUGAAAAGAUAAACGAGUAUGCAAAAUCAUCACACUACAUGCACACAUAAACAUAUUAAUCCUUCAACCCAAACAAUUAUUCUAUGAGUUUUGUUAUAGAGCAUUAGGCAGCUCCCCAUGUUUGCUUUGUCAGCAACACAGCAUCAAGUUCUAUAUCAUUU